rnacentral:tmRNA from 1 species
GGGGGCGAUGAGAUUCGAUUCGGACCUGUGAGCUGUGAGGGGCAUGCCGAGGUGGUCAGGAGGCCUCGUAAAACACCUGACAUCUACACAAGUGCCAACUACAGUCCUGUAGCAGAAGCGGAAGCAAUUCUCGCUUCUGAGGCGCUUACAGUCGCUGCCUAAUUAAAUAGGUAGCGCCGUCGUCCGAUCCGCCUGCGGGCCGGAUGGCGAAAUCAGCAGGCUGGUCCGGUGUUGGGCUGCUGGGCACCGGAUGAGACAACACAGUGGCUUCAGCCCCGCCUCUCUGGCCUUGCGAGGUGGGUGGGGUGAAAUGCUCAACGCAAGGCUACGCAUGUAGAGGGCUCACGCUCUCGAUCCGAAGACGCGGGUGCAACUCCCGCCGCCUCCACUU